rnacentral:rRNA from 1 species
UGGGGGAUAUUGCACAAUGGGCGAAAGCCUGAUGCAGCGACGCCGCGUGGGGGAUGAAGGCCUUCGGGUUGUAAACUUCUUUUGCUCUGAACAAGGCAUGCUAAUGGGUGUGUUGAGUGUAGGGGUUGAUUAGCGCCGGCUAACUACGUGCCAGCAGCCGCGGUAAUACGUAGGGCGCGAGCGUUGUCCGGAAUUAUUGGGCGUAAAGGGCUUGUAGGUGGCUGGUUGCGUCUGUCGUGAAAGCUCAUGGCUUAACUGUGGGUUUGCGGUGGGUACGGGCUGGCUUGAGUGCAGUAGGGGAGGCUGGAAUUCCUGGUGUAGCGGUGGAAUGCGCAGAUAUCAGGAGGAAUACCGGUGGCGAAGGCGGGUCUCUGGGCUGUUACUGACACUGAGGAGCGUAAGCAUGGGGAGCGAACAGG